UACGUAGGGUGCAAGCGUUAAUCGGAAUUACUGGGCGUAAAGCGUGCGCAGGCGGUUGUGCAAGACCGAUGUGAAAUCCCCGGGCUCAACCUGGGAAUGGCAUUGGUGACUGCACGGCUAGAGUGUGUCAGAGGGGGGUAGAAUUCCACGUGUAGCAGUGAAAUGCGUAGAGAUGUGGAGGAAUACCGAUGGCGAAGGCAGCCCCCUGGGAUAACACUGACGCUCAUGCACGAAAGCCAGGGGAGCGAACGGG
rnacentral:rRNA from 1 species